GAGUUUGAUCCUGGCUCAGAACUAACGCUGGCGGCGUGCCUAACACAUGCAAGUCGAGCGGACACCAAUUUGUAGCAAUACAGGUGAAGUGUUAGCGGCAGACGGGUGAGUAACACGUUGGCAAUCUAUCUUUCCGACCGGGAUAACUAGCCGAAAGGUUAGCUAAUACCUGAUACGAUCACCGAGCGGCAUCGCAUGGUGAUGAAAGCAGUAAUGCGCGGAUUGAGGAGCCUGCGGCCCAUUAGCUAGUUGGUGAGGUAAUGGCCCACCAAGGCGACGAUGGGUAGCUGGUCUGAGAGGACGACCAGCCACACUGGGACUGAGACACGGCCCAGACUCCUACGGGAGGCAGCAGUGAGGAAUUUUCCGCAAUGGGCGAAAGCCUGACGGAGCGACGCCGCGUGCACGAGGAAGGUCUUCGGAUCGUAAAGUGCUGUCGAGGGGGACGAUUAUGACGGUACCCCUGGAGGAAGCCCCGGCUAACUACGUGCCAGCAGC
rnacentral:rRNA from 1 species